UACGAAGGGGGCUAGCGUUGCUCGGAAUCACUGGGCGUAAAGCGCACGUAGGCGGAUCUUUAAGUCAGGGGUGAAAUCCUGGAGCUCAACUCCAAAACUGCCUUUGAUACUGAGGAUCUCGAGUCCGGGAGAGGUGAGUGGAACUGCGAGUGUAGAGGUGAAAUUCGUAGAUAUUCGCAAGAACACCAGUGGCGAAGGCGGCUCACUGGCCCGGUACUGACGCUGAGGUGCGAAAGCGUGGGGAGCAAACAGG
rnacentral:rRNA from 1 species